CGUGUCCAAUCCACACUGGGCUCUCUGGGCCGAGGGUACAGUGUGGCCCUGUUGCUCCGGGGGAGGGAAACAGAGGCACCCCGACUUGUGCCUCAGCCUGGGCGACAAGAGCAAAAUUCCGUCUCAAAAAAAAAAGGCGUUUUUCGGGAGUCAAGAUGGCCGAAUACGAACAGCUCAGGUCUACAGCUCCCAGCGUGAGCGACGCAGAAGACGGGUGAUUUCUGCAUUUCCAUCUGAGCUGCUGCAGAUGCUGUUUGAAGAAGCUCUGCCCCUCAGCUGCUCUGAUCCUGUGCUUAGCACUCUUAGCCUGGUGCAGGGCCUGCUGUCUGCUCACUCUCACCAUGUCCUGCCCAGGGCCUGACCCUCCUGAGGGGCCCGGGACCCAGCGUGUGUGGCAAGGGGCUCUACGGAUCCUACAGCUCCCAGGAGCCCCCAGGUGAUAGAGUCACCAGUAAACCAGAGCCCAUGCCUCGAGGGAGAGCCCCAAGUGGCAGGAAGAAUGGCAACUCUAAGGCGUGGCUCCACCAAAAGAAUCCUCUCAGGCACCCUAAGGAAUAGGCCCAGAGGCAGAGACUGAGGGAGCAGCACCAAAUUUGGAUUCGAGAGAAGCUGAAGCAUUUGGAACAGAAGGAGGAGGUGGCAGAUGACCAGGUCAAAGGCCUGGUGGCUGAAGAGGAG
rnacentral:lncRNA from 10 species